rnacentral:pre_miRNA from 1 species
AGAGGAAUAGCUGGGUCAAAUUGUAGUUCCAUUCCCAGCUUUUCAAGGAAUCUCCAUACUGCUUUCCAAAUUGGCUGCACCAAUUUGCAGUCCUACCAGCAAU